rnacentral:rRNA from 1 species
UACGAAGGGGCUAGCGUUGUUCGGAAUCACUGGGCGUAAAGCGCACGUAGGCGGACCGUUAAGUCGGAGGUGAAAGCCUGGGGCUCAACCCCAGAACUGCCUUCGAUACUGGCGGUCUUGAGUAUGGUAGAGGUUGGUGGAACUCCGAGUGUAGAGGUGAAAUUCGUAGAUAUUCGGAAGAACACCAGUGGCGAAGGCGGCCAACUGGACCAUUACUGACGCUGAGGUGCGAAAGCGUGGGGAGCAAACAGG